GAAAAUAUGUAAGCUACCAGGAUGAAGCUUGGGUGGAACUAAGUGGAGGUCCGAACCGACUGAUGUUGAAUAAUAAACGAAUGAGUUGUGGUUAGUGGUGAAAUGCCACUCGAACUUAAAGCUAGCU
rfam:Gossypium raimondii chromosome 3, whole genome shotgun sequence.